rnacentral:rRNA from 1 species
GACAGAGGGUGCAAACGUUGCUCGGAAUUACUGGGCGUAAAGCGCGUGUAGGCGGCGCUGCACGUCGGGUGUGAAAGCCCUCGGCUCAACCGAGGAAGUGCGCCCGAAACUGCAGAGCUUGAGUACCGGAGAGGAUGGCGGAAUUCCCCAAGUAGAGGUGAAAUUCGUAGAUAUGGGGAGGAACACCGGUGGCGAAGGCGGCCAUCUGGACGGAUACUGACGCUGAGACGCGAAAGCGUGGGGAGCAAACAGG